rnacentral:rRNA from 1 species
AGUGAACGCUGGCGGUAGGCCUAACACAUGCAAGUCGAACGGCAGCACAGUAAGAGCUUGCUCUUACGGGUGGCGAGUGGCGGACGGGUGAGGAAUACAUCGGAAUCUACUUUUUCGUGGGGGAUAACGUAGGGAAACUUACGCUAAUACCGCAUACGACCUACGGGUGAAAGCAGGGGAUCUUCGGACCUUGCGCGAUUGAAUGAGCCGAUGUCGGAUUAGCUAGUUGGCGGGGUAAAGGCCCACCAAGGCGACGAUCCGUAGCUGGACUGAGAGGAUGGUCAGCCACACUGGAACUGGGACACGGUCCAGACUCCUACGGGAGGCAGCAGUGGGGAAUAUUGGACAAUGGGCGCAAGCCUUAUCCAGCCAUACCGCGUGGGUGAAGAAGGCCUUCGGGUUGUAAAGCCCUUUUGUUGGGAAAGAAAAGCAGCAGGUUAAUACCCCGCUGUUCUGACGGUACCCAAAGAAUAAGCACCGGCUAACUUCGUG